UGUCGUAGUUCACACAAGUUACCACAUCCAAUUGAAGGCGUUGCGAGUAUUAUCUUUGUAGAAGAAAUUUUUGGCGGGCCGAAAGAUCUGUGUUUGUUAUUGUUUUCAUCGAAGUGGUACAUGCUGCAUGGAACUGUGGUAGUAACUCAGCAACAGGCUAUGAGGUGUAAUGAGUGACGUCGUGAUCACCGUAUUGUAUGUCCUUGAAAUAGUGUACACCGUGUUGAUGGCAUUACUGGUCAAAACAGUCAGGUGGAUUAAUGACUUACUGCCAAUCUACCUUUUAUAAUUCAGUAGUAGAUCACUUCAUGUAAACUGAUUUUGUUCUUCAGAUAUAGUUUGUGUGUAUUUCAAUUAAUUAAAAAUAAUGCUAUGUUCCAAGGACCAUUGGUCUCUUUCCAUUAAAAUGGUGUAGAUUACAUUGGUUUUACAUUC